CCUACGGGUGGCAGCAGUGAGGAAUAUUGGUCAAUGGGCGGAAGCCUGAACCAGCCAAGUCGCGUGAGGGAUUAAGGCCCUGCGGGUCGUAAACCUCUUUUGCCGGGGCGCAGUGGUCCGGCCGCGUCCGGACCGGGAGCGUACCCGGAGCCAAAGCAUCGGAUAACUCCGUGCCAGCAGCCGCGGUAAUACGGAGGAUGCGAGCGUUAUACGGAUUUAUUGGGUUUAAAGGGUGCGUAGGCGGGCAUUUAAGCCGGCGGUCAAAUGUCAGGUCUCAACCACGGCCUGCCGUCGGAACUGGGUGCUUUGAGUGGGCGAGAAGUAUGCGGAAUGCGUGGUGUAGCGGUGAAAUGCAUAGAUAUCACGAAGAACCCCGAUUGCGAAGGCAGCAUACCGGCGCCCUACUGACGCUGAGGCACGAAAGUGCGGGUAUCGAACAGGAUUAGAUACCCGGGUAGUC
rnacentral:rRNA from 1 species